rnacentral:lncRNA from 1 species
CAGAGGAUGUCAUCAAGGCAUUACAGCUAUUCAUUGAUGCAGGAAAAGAACUUUCUGGAAGCCUCACGUAUAGGUAAAGGCUGAUUCUGACCUUACACAAGUGAUGAAAAAUGACUUUUAGUCCCUUUAUUGCAGGCACCCUGUAUUUAUAUCCAACUAUUCAUUCUAAUUCUUAAAAAGCGGGGCAAGAAAACUAAUAUUUAUAAGAAAAUCUCUGCAUCUGUAUCACUAAAGUUGAUCCAAAUUUGUCAAUUUGGUUGAAGCUUUAAAAAUUUGCAUGAAAGCUUUGUUACACAUAAGAAGACACUACUAUUGGAUAGGCAUAAUCCAGAACACUAGACAUGUUAUAUAGUUUAGCAAAAUAGAAAAGCAACUUACCAAAAAUAAGUGGUUCUUUUGUUCCCGCAAUCCACGCCAGGAUAUUCUCAAGUUUAGUGAUAUCGAAAUGAAAAAAAAUUAGAGCCACUUAUAUUGUUUUAAGAGCACCCUAAAAAGCUAAGUGAUGUACAAUGGUGACAUUGGUGUUCCAAGGGAAACUGCAAAUGUGAGUAGCAGCUUCUAUGCAAGAAGCCACUACUCUUUUGCAAAGUCUUGGUGAAGUAUCUUUCUAGACGCCCCUCCUCUUGUACGGAAUUAUAACGUGUGACUGAUGGCUUCAACAAACUAUCAGAAACAAACCGCCUGAUGUUCUGCAUCUGCUGGCUUUACCCUUUGCCAAUCAGAGCUUCAACUAUGGUACUGUCCUCCUCCAGCACACUUAAAAUGAUCCAUUAGUGUUGGUUUUGUAAAGGAUGGGGCAGCAAGAAUAUUAAAAAUAUUGAUUGAAAUUGUCUCUCUUUUUUAUUAAACAUAGAAGGCUUUAAAUAGCCAACUUGAGAGCAUAAUAUGCAGAAAAAUCUGCAUAACAAGAAUUCAAAAAAUCUGAAAUAUCUCAACAAACC